ensembl:lncRNA
GAAAACAUCUCUCAGAGAAAUGUUACCGGACAAGGAGGUACCAUACAGAACACCUCUCUUCUUUCAAAGAUUACAGAUUGACAAUGAAGACCCUGGUUCCAAGCUUCUGCAAGGCCAGGGCUGCCCACUACCGACAAAUCUUGCUGUUAACACAAGCAAGUAUAAAGCCCUGAAGGGCUGAAAGUGCUGAGUUUAGAAUACACCUUGCUGCAAACAGUCGUUUCUCCUCUCCUUCUUCAGCUGAGGAUGCAGCCAUCUCUUCCUGCUUGCUAUACCGUCUUCCAUCAGUAGUUUCCAGGAGAGCACAGAGAGCAGGAUGUGCCCAUCACACCUUGCUCUAAACUGACUGGAAGCUGUGGUGAACAUCAAAGAAAAAAGCCAUGCUGUGAACGAACGUACCUCACCUCGCCAAAUGCCUUUUGAAGAGCAAACAGACAAGGAAGACCUCACGCCUGGCUCCAUGGGAGGGACUGCACGUGGCCUGCGUUGCCAUUACCCCUGGAGAGCUGCACAUCCACUCUGCCAGGAUUCACAGCCUGCAGUGCCAUUAGCAGAGGGGUGCUCUGUGGCAGUCCCUGGGGACGGUUCCAUGGCCAACAUAAUCAGGUGAACCUCUGCUCCUGGCCAGUUAUGUGUAUUAAAUGAGUGACACAGAAAAGGUGCAGGAUAGUAGAGAAAUGCCCCAAUUUUACAUUCUUGAUUGCCUUUGUGAAAAGGAGGCUCAGUAAAGCUAUGGCUAUUAGUAAAUAAUCAAGACUAUUACUGAUUAAGGUUUCUUUCCGAUGUGAACUGCGCCUGGUUGAAAUUACAAUGAGUUUGUCCUCUGUGAGAAGGCUUCAGUCACAUCCAUCAUCUCCACCGGACUCAUGGUUCAUAAAAGGCAUCACUUGCUCUCUAAAGGAGGUCGUAGCAGACCAACCAGUGAGGCAUUACUCCUCUGUCCCCUGGUUGGAUACUUUUGCUUCCAAAGCAAAAGCUGUCCUCUGCAAACCUGCCCCAAAAGCUGUGUCUCAACACGAUGCUGUGACAGUGUUUAUGAAUUCAUCGGUCUGUAUAAUGUGCAAGUGGAUAUGAAAAAUCCAUUUUUUCUACUCAUGACAGAAUGCUAAGUGAUAUCAGUCAUGACUUUGCAGCAGGUUUUACAUCCAUGCAGUUGCUGGUGCAUGGACUGGUGCUGUGAAGAUGGCCAGCUAGGUAAGUCUAUGGUGCAGCCAUGGUGAUGUGUAGGAAAGCCCUCAGUCACUUCCUUGUUUCUUCGGUCCAUUUCUGGUUUUUAUUGCUCUGCUACAAAUCAUUUUUCCAAAUAAUUCUUUUGAAAUGCACUCCAGGCAGCUAUUUGUGCUUCCCAUAGUUUUCAAUAUAGUAAUUUACCAAGUCUGCAACCUCAUGCUGAAACUUGUCCUUUCAGCCCAAAGUCCCUAGUAUUGUACAACUAUUUGGAUGAACCAAGUAAUCACAGAAAAUAACCUCCUAUUUUAAAUUAUCUUCUACUGAUUUUCCUAUGUGCUUGCCAUAUCUGCAAUGUCACUAUGAAGUUAUUAGGUAAAUAAUCCUCAAUGAAUGUCAUUCCAAUCUAUUGUUUCUAUUUUAAUUAACUUGUGUAAGACAGAUGGGGAUUGUUUCGAAUUUGCUAAGGAGGUGGAGAUGUGAAGUGGGAUUUUGGUUACUGAAAGUCAACAGUAAAUCUCUUAUUAAUGUUUUACUACUAGUAGUGUUUUACUAGAACUUAUUAAAUAUUGUUUCAAAUACAUGGAAAUAAAUGAGAA